rnacentral:rRNA from 1 species
UACGUAGGGACCAAGCGUUGUUCGGAUUUACUGGGCGUAAAGGGCGCGUAGGCGGCUUAUUAAGUCAGCUGUGAAAUCUCCGAGCUUAACUCGGAACUGUCAGCUGAUACUGAUGUGCUAGAGUGCAGAAGGGGCAAUCGGAAUUCUUGGUGUAGCGGUGAAAUGCGUAGAUAUCAAGAGGAACACCUGAGGUGAAGACGGGUUGCUGGGCUGACACUGACGCUGAUAGCGCGAAAGCCAGGGGAGCAAACGGG